UCAGAAAGCCAAUCUCAGUUCGGAUUGUAGGCUGCAACUCGCCUACAUGAAGUUGGAAUCGCUAGUAAUCGCGAAUCAGAAUGUCGCGGUGAAUACGUUCCCGGGUCUUGUACACACCGCCCGUCACACCACGAGAGUUUACAACACCCGAAGUCAGUGGCCUAACCGCAAGGAGGGAGCUGCCUAAGGUGGGGUAGAUGAUUGGGGUGAAGUCGUAACAAGGUAAC
rnacentral:rRNA from 1 species